GCAAGUGAAUGCGCUAUGGGAUCCUCCCGGAGUUGCUGACGGGGAAGCUGGGGGCGCUGGAUGGCAACAUGGCAUGAACCCAAUGGCCCUGCAGGCUGAUAAGGGGGCCUGGGGAGUUGAGGGGUGACAGCAACAGGGAACACUAUGAGCCUAAGACUGCCCCCUGCCCUGCCCCCCAGAUCUAUCCCUACGAAAUGCUGGUGGUGACCAAUAAAGGGCGAACCAAGUUGCCUCCAGGUGUGGAUCGGAUGAGGCUGGAGAGGCAUCUGUCAGCCGAGGACUUCUCCAGGGUGUUCGCCAUGUCUCCCGAAGAGUUUAGCAAGCUGGCUCUGUGGAAGCGGAAUGAGCUCAAGAAGAAGGCUUCCCUCUUCUGACCACCCCACACUUCCUGACUCACCCUCACCCCUGCGGCUCUCUGGAGCUGGGUCACUGGACCCUAAAGCAUCAUCUCUUGCGGGGGGCACAGAGGUGGCAGAGGUGGGGUUGGCUGCAUUGCUAGGUCAAGGGGAGCCCGGCCUUCUCUCAGUGCUGGGCUGUGGGACAUGGACCUUCUUCCCAUAAUGAGCCAGGGGCCUCCCCUCCUCCCUCGUCCUCACUGCACAGGGCAAACCCAGGCUGGACCCCAGCACUCAGAGUUAAUGUCUGCACCCUCUCCCUGCCCCCACCCCAUGAAGAGAGGUCCCAGAAGAGGGAGUGAGGCGACCUGGACAUGGCACGUGGUGCAGACCGGUUGAUGUCUGGAUCAGUGGGCGGGUAGAGCGCUCAGCCUGCGGAGGAGGUGAGGCAGGAAGCAGCAGGCAGGCAGGCACAGCUCCAGGACCCCAUCUGCCCAGCACUCCUCCUCGCCUCACUGAGGAGGCUCCCCCUGCACCUGGGCCUCCCGCCUCUGACUCCAGCAGGGAGGCUGCCCUGCCUCCAGAUUACCCUCUGACCUUCUUGCACAUCCUAUGCUUUGAAGCCUCAUGCUCAGCUCUGUGGCUUCCCCAGAAGCCUUGGCUUAGAGUGGAGAUGUCGCCUAUACCAGACGCCAGGCCCCCAUCAGCCUCCAGGCACAGUGAGCUAGACUCCUACCUUCUGACACCAGGAUCCUAGGCAGGACCAGGCCUUCAGGCUCCCUCGGAUGGGAACAAGAGGCCAGGCCACCAGGUCCCACCCAUACCCAUGCAUCCCCCACCAUGCUCUCUAAAGAAUGUAAUUUAUUGGGGCACCCCAGCUGCUUUCCUCACCCAAGUCUCUGCCCUACCUAAUCACAUUCCCAGCUUUUCUUCUCUACAAAUACAUAUGUGUAUAUAAUUAUAUAUAUAUAUUUUUUGCCCAGGUCUGGGUUUUGUUCCUGCCCAGACCCUGGCAUCCCUUUCCGCUGUGUGUAUGUGUGAGAUGAUACUGGGGGAGGGGAACUCUGCUUGGAAUUAAAAGGUUGCAUUGGGUCCCCAAA